rnacentral:rRNA from 1 species
AGAGGGUGCAAGCGUUAAUCGGAAUUACUGGGCGUAAAGCGUGUGUAGGUGGUUUGCUAAGUCAGGUGUGAAAUCCCUGGGCUCAACCUAGGAAUUGCACUUGAUACUGGCAGGCUCGAGUGUGGUAGAGGAUAGUGGAAUUCCCUGUGUAGCGGUGAAAUGCGUAGAUAUCGGGAGGAACAUCAGUGGCGAAGGCGGCUAUCUGGACUAACACUGACACUGAGACACGAAAGCGUGGGGAGCAAACAGGAUUAGAUACCCUGGUAGUCCACGCCUUAAACGAUGGGCACUAGUUGUCGGGAAGUUUAACUUCUUGGUGACGCAGCUAACGCAAUAAGUGCCCCGCCUGGGGAGUACGGCCGCAAGGUUA